rnacentral:lncRNA from 1 species
UGGAGUGUAUGGAAUUACUUUAAUACCAAAUCUCCACCGCAUUGCAAAUAAAAUAAAAAUGGUAAUGUAGAAAUGUAAAGGUAAGAAAUGGAAGAGCAAAAUUCUCAAAUUCAACCUUGUUCUGGAACUCCUCCUUUCUUCUCCUGAAACCUAGGUUAGUCCAGACCCUUAAAUAACAGAAGCAUAACCAAGGUAAGUUUGUCAAACUACUCGAC